CUGGCUAGAUGAGUGGCAGUUAAGAGCUCACACACUGAUCUUACUACAAUGAGCUUACAAAGCAAGUUUGGUUCCGCAGCUAAGUUAAUGAAAUACAACACCAUUUACUAGAGAGAAAAAUAUUUUUGAACAGCUGGUCGAGAAAAACAUUUUAAUAAAACAAAAUUAUUCUAUUUACAUGACACCCUUGAAGGUUGUCAUUUACAGAAAAUGUACAAAUAAAGAACUUGUCAAAACAUGAUAUUAAGUAGAUAAUAAAAACAUUGAAGUGCUUCUGACUGGACGCUGACUGACCAAAUUAGGUAGAAACAAAGAACCAUUUAACAUCUGGGUUUAUAUUGUCAGUCUCAGGAUUGAGAAUAUAGGAUCCAGUGCCCUUUUUCAUUAUAAUUUAAGGUUAAAUUGAUCAUAGAUCUCUCACUUAUAGUCAGACACUGUCAAUAGGCCUGAAAUGUAACAAAAGAGUAACUUCCUUGAAGAAUCUAGUCUAGAUCUUUUUAAACUUUGUGGAGGGACAGUACAAUAACAAAAAUCCCACCCAAGGUGUUUUACAAAGCAAAACUGACAAUUUAGUGAAAUAAUCUAAGUCAGUGUGGUAGUUUGGGGCUGCACUGACAGUUAAGGGUGUUAAAGAGGUAGGUUUCUUAGGGAUGGUAGCCUUCACAAGAACACAGUCUUUGAAAUGUAGAACAUCCUUUAAAAUCUGUUGGCGUUCCAACAGAUUUUAAGUUACAUAUAAGAAAAGCUGCCAAAGAAACAUACAAAGCUAGCCUGUGUGCUGUAUAAUCUACAUACAUUUCUUAACAGCAACUUCGUAAAUUUAAGAUUUUAUGAACAGAUUCUAGAUGAACAAAUUCCUAAGAGUAUACCAGCAGUCAACCAGUUUCAUCGCCGGUCACGUCAAUCUCGUCUUCCUCCAAGUCCUCAUCUACUUCAGUCAGUUCUGUGGAGCCUUGCUCAAGCCCAGUCUCCCACACUCUUGGCUGGAUGCCCGGUGAGCACUCCAGAACAUCGACCUCCACCGCCUCCUCUUCCUCCUCCGACUCCCAGCUAAUCGUGGACCUGGUGGUGAUUCUUUGGGAUGAUCCAAAGUCCGAAGGGGUUGGGAGGAUCAAGUCAGCCGCAUUUGGGGCAACGGCGGCAAUUUUGACAUCCCGAGGGACGUCGACAUUAUCAUCGGGGGUGCGUCCGAUGAAUGCAACGGUAGAACACCCUCGAUCCACUUCUCUGACACCAGGACCUUCUUCCCAAGUGAGAAAGAAAAGAGGACAAGCCCAGGGUCAAUAUUUGAAAAAGAUAACAAUGUAUACCAUCAUAG
ensembl:lncRNA